CAGGAAUGGAACCACAAUCAGAGACAGGAAGUGACUUGCUCAGGGUCAUACAGCUAGUCCGUAGUAGAGUUGAGUUUUCAGCCCAGUAAGCGCCAAAUGCCAUGGGUCAGGGCUCCUGGAGACCUUCCCCAGGCCCUAAAUAAUCUACUGCAUUAUGUCCUAAAACUUCAGAUAAGGCAGAAGCACGUGACAUUCCAGGGAGUCGGGGCUCAGCAUGUGAGGGUAGCAACAGAUCUUCCGCCGGUCAUACCUCAAGCUCAGGAACAGAAGAUGGCGGCCUGAAUGCAGACCUCUUUCAGAGACCUCAGCGUCACCCUGCCUCCACAGGGCUGCAGCCUGCCUGGCACCUGGGGGUGUGCUGGGGAACCUCUGUCCCUUCUUCUUUUCCUGGUGCUCUCUCAUUCGUUCCUUCCCUUGCAGGUUCAGGGCAGCCCCAGCUUCUCCCCAGCUUAGACAAUUAGUUCAAUGGGGACCCAGAAGGAAGGCCCUGGUGUGCAUCUCCCCACUGCAGGCCCCUGAGCAGAGGAGGGUGUCUCCUUCCUCCUCACCACCAGGACCACUCGUCCCCAUCCAGCUGACAGCACCGGCCUUGCAGGCAUGGCUCAGAGAUCUGGGAUCAAUGUGAAACCAGCCUGGGAACUCCUUCUCUGCCCCUGGGCCCAGCUGUUUUUCUCAAUUAGUCUCCCUCCAUCUUAGGACCUCCUUAAGGUCCUUCCUUCUGGCUUCUCCAUCUGGCUUCAGGGAGGCCUCUGGCCCCCACGGAACUUCCUAGCAUAGAGGAAGAGCCAGAGCUAUAACGAUGGGCUGGAGGCUCCUGGAAACCACAAGUUUCUUCUAUUCUACCACCCUCUCUGCUCAGCUCUAACUCUUGUCCAGGAUAUGCUCAUCGAAUAAGGCCUGAUUUUGUAAUUCUCUUUCCAGAAUUUUCCUCCUUCCCAGGCCACUGGGCCAGAGUGUCCAUCCUUGCUGACAGGAAAUUCAUCUUCAUUUUUCCAGCUUAAUUUCUCAAGCACAUACAUUCCUUCUCGUUCUGGGGAGUAGCAUGGCCUGACCCUGCAAUGGUGCUACGCCUUAGCACCCCGCCCCCAGGUGAAACAGUUCCUGACUUAGCUUUUCCAAAGCUUGCUGCCCAGCUCCUUGGAC
rnacentral:lncRNA from 1 species